CCUACGGGAGGCAGCAGUAGGGAAUCUUUCACAAUGGGCGAAAGCCUGAUGGAGCAACGCCGCGUGCAGGAUGAAGGCCUUCGGGUUGUAAACUGCUUUUAUAAGCGAGAAAUAUGAUGGUAACUUAUGAAUAAGGAUUGGCUAACUACGUGCCAGCAGCCGCGGUCAUACGUAGGAUCCGAGCAUUAUCCGGAGUGACUGGGUGUAAAGAGUUGCGUAGGUGGCAUAAUAAGUAGCUAGUGAAAUCUGGUGGCUCAACCAUUCAGACUAUUAGCUAAACUGUUAAGCUCGAGACCGUUAGGGGUAACUGGAAUUUCUAGUGUAGGAGUGAAAUCCGUAGAUAUUAGAAGGAACACCAAUAGCGUAGGCAGGUUGCUGGGACGGUUCUGACACUAAGGCACGAAAGCGUAGGGAGCAAACAGGAUUAGAUACCCCGGUAGUC
rnacentral:rRNA from 1 species